AUUGAACGCUGGCGGCAUGCCUUACACACGCAAGUCGAACGGGGGUAGCAAUACCCUAGUGGCGGACGGGUGAGUAAUGUAUCGGAACGUGCCCUUGAGUGGGGGAUAACCAGUCGAAAGAUUGGCUAAUACCGCAUACGAUCUACGGAUGAAAGUGGGGGACCUUAGGGCCUCAUGCUCGUGGAGCGGCCGAUAUCCGAUUAGCUAGUUGGUGGGGUAAAGGCCUACCAAGGCGACGAUCAGUAGCUGGUCUGAGAGGACGAUCAGCCACACUGGGACUGAGACACGGCCCAGACUCCUACGGGAGGCAGCAGUGGGGAAUUUUGGACAAUGGGGGAAACCCUGAUCCAGCGAUGCCGCGUGAGUGAAGAAGGCCUUCGGGUUGUAAAGCUCUUUUGUCAGGGAAGAAGAUGCUAUGGCUAAUAUCCAUGGUUGAUGACGGUACCUGAAGAAUAAGCACCGGCUAACUACGUGCCAGCCGCCGCGGUAA
rnacentral:rRNA from 1 species